CACGUAAGAAAAUACAACAGUGACUUGCCUUCAGAAAAUUUUACUAGCAGUCGGCCAAGGGGUUAUGCAUCCUCAUCAUCAGAAUCGCAUUCUGCAUCGACGACUGCAGAAUCCGUGUCUAGAAAGCCAUUCGGCCAGCCAGUCUGCUCUCCAGUAUCCUCCGGUCAAUAGCUGCGUCGAUUGAACUCAUCUGGAACAAGAACCAACACAAAAUGGAAGAGAAUGAUCAGUUAAUCACCAACAAGUCCAGAUUCCACCAGUAAGAUACCAUAUAUAUCUGAAGGAAGCCUGGUCCUCUGCAAAAUACAUCGAACUUUGCAAUAGAAGCUGACCUGGGCCAGAGUCUGAUUUCACUGUUCGGCCAUAAAAUUAAAUUGUAAUGAAUGAGCAAAUUCCGUCUUGUUCCACUCCCACACGGUGAAGCAUAGGGAGGGAGAACAACAGUUAUAAAGAUAUAAGAUUUAAGUUCAAAUGAGCAUAUAUACAUACACCCGGAUCAAUGCAGUAUCCUUCAGUUGUUCCAGCAAGC
rnacentral:lncRNA from 1 species